UCGUGGUGUAGCAAGGAAAGGGAGAGGAUACGCCUGUUAGACUUCCUGGCCAAACCUUACUCAGUGAUUGUCAUAUCCUCGUUAAAACAUGGCCAUUAGUGUCAUUAAUCGCGUUGGGUAUUGCAAUUUAUCUUUAACACCGCGGAGUAGCUGUAGAGGGCCCAGCGCCCCCCCCUACUUAGGCCUCCCAUAUAUAGACCUAUGCGGUUUCCCCGUGACCUGUGUGCCGAUUUUGUUGACCAGCAGGGCGUGCAGUGCUUCUGAGAGCCCCCGCCCCAGCCCCGAGACCAGCAGGGUGACCCACUGGACUUGAGGUCCUGGUGGCACCCGACCCAAGCUACUGGUACUGCCGUUGGCUGGCGGAUGAGAUCUUCCUGACGGAUGUGGCGGCCAACUUCCUGACUGUGAGGAUUGGGGAGUGCAAGAAGCGGCCAGAGGUUUUCAAGGACACGACCGACCCAAACCAGAAAUCCCAGUGCUCGAUUAUGUGAUGUGUUGUGAUUGUGAAUAUGUCUUGACUUUGCUGGUGAAGGUUUCCAUGGUGAACAGGAUCAUACUGAAAAGGUAUUAGCCGGGGGUCUUCAAGGACACGACCGACCCAGAAAUCCUAGUACUCAAUUAUGUGGUUAUUGUGAAUAUGUCUUGACUUUGCUGGUGAAGGUUUCCAUGGCAAAUAGGAUCAUACUGAAAAGAUAUUAGCCGGGGGUCUUCAAGGACACGACCGACCCAGAAAUCCUAGUACUCAAUUAUGUGGUUAUUGUGAAUAUGUCUUGACUUUGCUGGUGAAGGCUUCCAGGGUGAACAGGAUCAUACUGAAAAGGUAUUAGCAUGGAAAGAUAUUGUUGUGCUGUGUUCGUGGGAGUCCCGUAAACAAACAUAUGGGUACAGCUAUUACUGGACGCAAAAUGUUAUUGUAAAGCCUGCUGGAUACAUUUGACAAGCAUAGAAAACCACCUAAAAAUUAUAAGUUAAAACUCUGUCAUCACUUGCAGAAUUGGAAGUCCAAACAAUCUAAACUGAUACUUCAAAGGAAGCCCACAGCCUUGGGAUUACUUUAGGCAUUUGGGUUUGAGUCUUGGUGCAAAGCCAGAUUUUUAAGAAAUUUAUUUAUAAAAUUGUACGGGCCGUGAACACCUCAUGUGUGACCCCCUGCUGCUCACAAGCCGUACACCAAUUAGCCCAGUAGCAGCGACGGGACAAAUUUGUGGCUUUACCGUGGAGCAGCGACGAGCCAAACUUGUGCCAUGAUUUAAACCCCAAAAAAAUAGAUGAUACAUAAGCUGAUCACAAAUGUUUUGAUAUAUACUAUGAAAUGGUUUGUGUGAGGGGUGAUUUUUUCUCAUUUUUCUCGCUUAGAGGGACCAUUAAGAAAUAUGAUCCCUGCUGCUACCGGGUUAAAAAAAAAAAACAUCCUAUGGAGAAAAAAUAUUCUCUGGGGAAGCUCAAGAGAUAGAGGAAGGCCAUUUCCUGAGGAGUAUUUGCACUCUUUGUUAUGCCUGUCAGGGCAAACACAGAUUUUUAAUUAGUAUUUUCCCACCAGUAGUACUAUGGGUUGUCCACCUCACCCUACAAUGGAAACAAUAUAACAUUUGAAAAACCAUGCUAUUCCACCUUCUGUAUAAAAAGAGAUGUUAUAUGUUUUUUCCUGUUUUAGUCAUGGAAUUUACUAUUAAGCAGAAUAUUGUUGUACACUUGGGCACUUAAACAGGAGGAGGCUUUUCAAACAGGCAAAUGUUGGUGCCCAGAUGUUUAAAAAUGCUGCUUGGAAGUCUGGAAGAGUGGCUGGAAUCUGCGACGUCUUUGCUGAUGGGGUCUUCGUGGUGCAGUGGUUAGCACACUCGGCUCACAACCGAGAGAGCACGGGGUCGAUUCCCAGGCGGAGUGGAAAAAUUUGGGCGGCUUUUCCGAUACCCUACGCCCCUGUCCACCCAGCAGUGAAUGGGUACCAGGUAUUAAUCGGGGGUUGUGUCCUGUCUCCUGGGGUCUGUUCUCUUCUAUAAUUCCUUCCCCUUCUGUCUCUCUCCGACACAUGACCACAGAUGUUGCGCCCACUAAACAAAACUUUCCAACUUUUUCUCUGGUGAUUCUCUGUACAGGCAGUGGUUCGGAAGGUGUACUAGACUGCCUCCAGCUGACUGUUUGAGGCUCUACCAUGUCUUCCGGUCAUGGUUUUAGGGUUUCCGCCGUCCAUAAGCUUAAAAAAUCUUGUGUACUGUGUUUCCAAGCUUCUGAAAAUGGACCCAAAAUAUAAUACUGAGUGCCUCUCUAAUGUUUAUCUCUAUGUAUAGGGAAGGGAGUUGUAUCAUAGCCUGUUAAGAAUAUUAAGGUGUCUAUUGUGUAUUUCCAGGCCUCUGAAAAUGGACCCAAAAUGUCAGAAUGAGUGCAUGUUGUAGCUCUAAUGUUUAUCGCUAUGUAUAGGGAAGGGAGUUGUACUCACAGAGUUAUAUACAUAGAGGGUUCCCAGAGCCUGGAUUUUGAAGCAACUGGCGGCCAUCUUAGGGUGACGAAUGGCAAGACAGAGAGAAAUUUACUUUCCCAUAGUUAUGUCUGCUAUUAUCAGGUCAGCAGUGCCUCAGCGACCCUCUGUCAGAUAGACCUGUUAUUUUCUUGUCCAUUUUCCACCCACUGAUUAUUGUUACAUUGGUACAUGUCAUAUACCAUCUGCAUCGGAAAAACAUGCUCAAUUUGAAGCUGUAAACGAAAAUCUAAUACAAUAAAAAGUUCCUGAAUGACAAGUAAUUGAGGCAAAAAAGAUGAACAAAAAUGUUUAUACACUACCAUCAUGAUAUGCAGCAAUGUCUCAUGAACACGAUGAUCGGCUCAGUUUUCCAAAAUAUCAUAAUGGUGGCUAGCUAAUAGUGGUUAAGUGUAAACAUGUGGAACAACGGAAAGGUCGCCAAUCCGUCACCCUAUGGCAGCCGACCACAGGCAGGAGCAGUGGCUUCACCUCUCACCGUGGCGAGAGAUUGGAGUUGAACCCUCUAGUCUAUAACUCUGUGGUUGUACCAUAUCCUGUUAAGAAUAUUAAGGAGUCUGUUGUGUAUUUCCAGGCCUUGGGAACUGUGACAAUGGACUGAAAACAACAUUGGAAUUAGUGCAAGAUAUACCCCUGAUGUCCUGCUCCUGUUCUUCCCUUGUAUAGAGAGAGAGGAGAGAAAGAACAGACAUAGUUAGUGAAGUGAAGCCUUUGUUCAACCUUUCUUAUGCCUGUCUAGUGAAAAAUAAUAAUAAUAAUAAUAAUAAUAAUAAUAAUAAAAAUAAUAAUAAUAAUGAAGAGAUGAUGUUAUGAGCUAUUGUGUUCUUAAGGGCUGAUUAAACUUUGCUGGUA